rnacentral:rRNA from 1 species
UGGGGAAUAUUGGACAAUGGGCGAAAGCCUGAUCCAGCCAUGCCGCGUGUGUGAAGAAGGUCUUCGGAUUGUAAAGCACUUUAAGUUGGGAGGAAGGGCAGUAAGCGAAUACCUUGCUGUUUUGACGUUACCGACAGAAUAAGCACCGGCUAACUCUGUGCCAGCAGCCGCGGUAAUACAGAGGGUGCAAGCGUUAAUCGGAAUUACUGGGCGUAAAGCGCGCGUAGGUGGUUCGUUAAGUUGAAUGUGAAAGCCCCGGGCUCAACCUGGGAACUGCAUCCAAAACUGGCGAGCUAGAGUAGGGCAGAGGGUGGUGGAAUUUCCUGGGUAGCGGUGAAAUGCGGAGAUAUAGGAAGGAACACCAGUGGCGAAGGCGACCACCUGGGCUCAUACUGACACUGAGGUGCGAAAGCGUGGGGAGCAAACAGG